GAUGAACGCUGGCGGCGUGCCUAAUACAUGCAAGUCGAGCGAACAGACGAGGAGCUUGCUCCUUUGACGUUAGCGGCGGACGGGUGAGUAACACGUAGGCAACCUACCUAUAAGACUGGGAUAACUUCGGGAAACCGGAGCUAAUACCGGAUAAUAUUUUGAACCGCAUGGUUCGAUAGUGAAAGAUGGCUUUGCUAUCACUUAUAGAUGGACCUGCGCCGUAUUAGCUAGUUGGUAAGGUAACGGCUUACCAAGGCAACGAUACGUAGCCGACCUGAGAGGGUGAUCGGCCACACUGGAACUGAGACACGGUCCAGACUCCUACGGGAGGCAGCAGUAGGGAAUCUUCCGCAAUGGGCGAAAGCCUGACGGAGCAACGCCGCGUGAGUGAUGAAGGUCUUCGGAUCGUAAAACUCUGUUAUUAGGGAAGAACAAACGUGUAAGUAACUGUGCACGUCUUGACGGUACCUAAUCAGAAAGCCACGGCUAACUACGUG
rnacentral:rRNA from 1 species